CCGCAGACUGCGUUGCUGUAGGCUAGGAGAGGAUCCAAGAGAUGGUCUACUGGCAGGAUGUGCCUCAACCAGAUCCAACUGAAUAAUUCAGGCCAUGUUUUCUUCUUCUCCGACUCCUCACAAAUUAACCAUAGUCUCCUCUCAGAAAAAUCGUAGCCACAAUAAAAAUUGAGGAUGUUUUGCAAUCCAGAAGUAGAGGGAAGAAGCUGUGUUUUUCAUUUGUAGUUCCAUGUGAUCAACCAAGUAUUAUAUGAACUAUUUUGUCGUCCACUUGUUGUCCUUGAUGUGUAGAGGAGUUGAGGGAUGAUGUAUAUUAUUUUCUUUGAUAGCUAUUGCUGAAAUGAAGAUAUAUUUUAUGUGGAA